rnacentral:tRNA from 1 species
UUCAACUUGGCAGAUAAAAUGCAAUAAAUUUAGAAUUUAUUUAUGAAAUUAAAUUCAGUUGAAA